rnacentral:tRNA from 1 species
CGGCUGUGUGGUGGACAGGCGGAUGCGCGGCAGCUCCAGCCAGCCGCGGCGCUCGCUGGGUACCUGCAGUUCCACUUCGCCGCGGCCGU